rnacentral:misc_RNA from 1 species
GAAAACUGAAGCUGACUUAAAAUAAAGACUCUCAUACAUUAGGUCUGAAACUAAUAUUUAAUACCAUGGACAACAAGAUAGUUCACAACUUCAACAUUAGGUUUCGGCGAGCAUUCAAAACCAUUACUUUGCAGAACUUACUCGGUUUCUGAAACUUCUAUAUCCCACAACUUCACUAAACUCCCUAAUACUUGAUAUAGCACUGGCAAGGUAAAGCAUGUCUUCAGUCUUCCUCGGAUCUAGUAACACUUGGCUUCUAAAAGUUUUGCGCUUGCAUAGCUUUCCUUUAUAAGGAGGAAGUCUUCUUUGUGCUUCAUUAGCUUUGUUGCCAAGUUAGCUAUCAGCUGAUCAUAUUCAGUGAACUUCAAAUUCCACCCUUUCGCAAAUUCCGUUAUCAUUUCUUCUGCACAACGCCUCUCCUUCUCUUCCUCGAAACUCUUCACUUCUGCCUCCUCCUUUUUCUUCAAUUGCUCUAACCUUUCUAUCUCUCCGGUACUCAGAACGAGACCUCCAC